CCUACGGGAGGCAGCAGUGGGGAAUAUUGCACAAUGGGCGCAAGCCUGAUGCAGCCAUGCCGCGUGUAUGAAGAAGGCCUUCGGGUUGUAAAGUACUUUCAGCGAGGAGGAAGGUGUUGUGGUUAAUAACCGCAGCAAUUGACGUUACUCGCAGAAGAAGCACCGGCUAACUCCGUGCCAGCAGCCGCGGUAACACGGAGGGUGCAAGCGUUAAUCGGAAUUACUGGGCGUAAAGCGCACGCAGGCGGUCUGUCAAGUCGGAUGUGAAAUCCCCGGGCUCAACCUGGGAACUGCAUCCGAAACUGGCAGGCCAGAGUCUUGUAGAGGGGGGUAGAAUUCCAGGUGUAGCGGUGAAAUGCGUAGAGAUCUGGAGGAAUACCGGUGGCGAAGGCGGCCCCCUGGACAAAGACUGACGCUCANGUGCGAAAGCGUGGGGAGCAAACAGGAUUAGAUACCCCGGUAGUCCACGCCGUAAACGAUGUCGACUUGGAGGUUGUGCCCUUGAGGCGUGGCUUCCGGAGCUAACGCGUUAAGUCGACCGCCUGGGGAGUACGGCCGCAAGGUUAAAACUCAAAUGAAUUGACGGGGGCCCGCACAAGCGGUGGAGCAUGUGGUUUAAUUCGAUGCAACGCGAAGAACC
rnacentral:rRNA from 1 species